rnacentral:rRNA from 1 species
UACGUAGGGGGCAAGCGUUGUCCGGAUUUAUUGGGCGUAAAGAGCGUGUAGGCGGCCAGACAGGUCCGUUGUGAAAACUCGAGGCUCAACCUCGAGAUGUCGAUGGAAACCGUCUGGCUAGAGUCCGGAAGAGGAGACUGGAAUUCCUGGUGUAGCGGUGAAAUGCGCAGAUAUCAGGAGGAACACCGGUGGCGAAGGCGGGUCUCUGGGCCGAUACUGACGCUGAGGAGCGAAAGCGUGGGGAGCGAACAGG